rnacentral:lncRNA from 1 species
GGGAUGCCCGAGUCAGAUAAGGAAAUCUAAGUGGACGCCUUAUGCAACAUAGGGCAGAUAGAUGGGGCACCAACACUUGGCACCCCUUAGGGUUUUCUUGCACAAGAGGGGGGGUAUAGCCCCUCUCUCUCUCCUUCCAUACCCAGCCACAAGAGGGGGCAAGCUCCUCUAACAUUAUCCAAGGGGUUGGCGCCCCUUGAUCUUGCCAAAAAGGGAGGAAGGUGCCACCCUUCUUUCUAAUAAUUCCAUACACAAUGAGGGGA